rnacentral:lncRNA from 1 species
ACAAGAAUACUUUAAGUCCUCUUCUCGAUGAAGGCACGUUCUCUCUGUAAAUAAGUAUAGUUUAUGUCCUCUUAUCAACAUCCUUUUAUCUCGAGUGCUUUUAAUACAUUCCGUAGUUACGCGGAUAACCAAAUUACAAACACAUACUAAAGGGAGAUAUAAAUAACGAGAUUGCAUUGUGAGAUACUUGUGAAAGACAUCUAACGGGAUAAUACAUUCAAAGAAGUCAUGAAAACCGUGCAUAUUAUAUGUCUAGCGCUGAUAUCACUUCUGCUUUUGAGUAACCUUGCACUUGCGAGGUCAAAUGGACCAUUAUGUCGACCUAUCACCUCACGUAACGGACAUGUUGUUGGUUGUCGAGAUACAGGAAGAAUAAUAGAUGGACGUGGAAGGUGUGGAAGAAGCGGAAGAAGAAAAUCUUGCGGAAUGAUCAGAAGGUCGUGCAGAUGUAAAGGUGUAAUAUUUUUGCAUCCUGGAAGAAACGAAUGAUACCUAUGAUUCAUCUUAAUUGUGAUUCGGAAAAUCAUCAAGAGUUUUAUGUUGUUGAGAAAUAAGUAAUGCAGUGUUGUUUAAUUCGUCAUAACUGUUUUUUAGAUAAAGUACGUUAUAGCCUAUGUUUCUUGACAAUGGACAGGUAAUGCGCCAGAUUUCAACGGAUUAAUCCAUUUGCAAGUCUGAGUAAUUCGAAUAAUAAAACUUUUUCUAAAUAAAUAAUCCUUAGAGUAAAAUAAAGAGGCGAGGUGAAGUCUUGGUGAAGUCUAUGUAUUUUGUUGAUAUAUCUCUUUGCUUGAUGGUUAGUUAAUGACUUCCAAUUUCGUUUAAUUUACAUUCUAGCUUAAAACUGUUGUUUUUGUCGUUUUCAGAGGGAGUCAUAAUAGGGUAUUAACAAAACAAAAGAUUCAUGCGCUCAUGCGCUGUUAACACACCCUUUUUAUAUGCGUUUCCGUUGCAUGGUGUAAACUUAUUAAGGUCACAUAGCAGAUAAUUAAAAAAGAAACAACGCUGACAUUCCUGUGCAUUUUAGGGAGGGUCUUUUCACCCCAAGACAUCCCAAACACCCAAAGACACCCCAAGACACCUAAAAACAGUAAUUAUCCUAUUGUUUAGUAUCAAAAUGUCAAAAUAAUAACAUAUUUUAAUGUUUUAGGUGAUAAUUUUCUUUUUUUCUGAAUCAUAAAAAAUGAAACUUUAGAACAAAAUAAUUCAAGGGAAACAAUCCAAAAAGCUUAUGGCCAUUUUAUAAUGUUGAUGGAUAAUACAUUUUUACAGUUUUUAUGCUAGAAUAGUGUUAGCGCAUGUACAGUUCGUGUUAUAACAGGUACAGAAUACUUUGGUAUUCUGCAAAUGGUAUAACACAAAAAAGCAAAACAUGACUUAUCCGCACAUGAAUUUUUCAUGAGUUAAGUAGAAUACAGAAUCAUAUGUUAAACCAACUGUUUUCAGAAGUGGGCAAUAUAAAAAAGAUGUGCAUGAUUUAUUGCAAAAACGUUAAUAUAUGCGCCUCAUGAUAUUGAAUAUAAAGGAACUGUAAAUAUAGUAGAACUGUUUCAUUGAAUAAAUGAACCAUAAAAUUG